rnacentral:rRNA from 1 species
GAUGAACGCUGGCGGCGUGCCUAAUACAUGCAAGUCGAGCGAACAGACGAGGAGCUUGCUCCUCUGACGUUAGCGGCGGACGGGUGAGUAACACGUGGAUAACCUACCUAUAAGACUGGGAUAACUUCGGGAAACCGGAGCUAAUACCGGAUAAUAUAUUGAACAGCAAGGUUCAAUAGUGAAAGACGGUUUUGCUGUCACUUAUAGAUGGAUCCGCGCCGCAUUAGCUAGUUGGUAAGGUAACGGCUUACCAAGGCAACGAUGCGUAGCCGACCUGAGAGGGUGAUCGGCCACACUGGAACUGAGACACGGUCCAGACUCCUACGGGAGGCAGCAGUAGGGAAUCUUCCGCAAUGGGCGAAAGCUUGACGGAGCAACGCCGCGUGAGUGAUGAAGGUCUUCGGAUCGUAAAACUCUGUUAUUAGGGAAGAACAAAUGUGUAAGUAACUAUGCACGUCUUGACGGUACCUAAUCAGAAAGCCACGGCUAACUACGUG